AAGGCAAGCGCUGCGUGUCGAGGUCGUCACCACCUCGUGAAACAGUGGCAAGUUGGUAGUACACCUGCCGACGACAACUACGCACUCGCUGCCUAGCUAACCCCUAGGAACUAGCGACAUCCGUCCGCGACGCCUUCUAGCGGGGAGCGGAUGUCAUCCGAAGGCUGGCUCCCGGAUCGCCGAUCCGCCGUACCCGGGAGCGAGACCCACGUGGAUCUGGGGCGAGGCUUCUCCCGUCUUCGCGACAGGCCCGCCCGAGAUCGAGCGAAGACUACACACGUAGACGCGCCUGCUGGACGCCAUGCGGACGCGGGUUCGAUUCCCGCCGCCUCCACCA
rnacentral:tmRNA from 1 species